AUUUUGUGCCAGCCCUCAAAUGUUACCUGGUAGUGUAAAAAAGACAAAACCAUAUCUAACACCACUCAGAACUGAACUGUAUUCUUGCAUUAAGUUAUAUGCAUUACCUCAGGUAGCACCGGCUAACACGGCUGAAGUGUUACAUCUGCAACGGUCGCAUCAGAUGUCUUCUCAAGACCAGGAGCUGGUGCAGAAGCCGGUGCAGGAGUCUGAGUGCCUGACUGGCCCUGUUUUAGUCCUCUUUGUCUGUCCCCUGCAUCCCCUGUGAAAACAAACACUUAGCAAGUGCUUCAAUCAGCAGAGAAUUAUCCAUCCAAGAGUCAUCCCCUUUGGACCCUGAUGAGCUGCAGGUGGCAGUUGUUACAGGAAGGACCAUGUCCUGUUGAGGUGUAAAAUACAGGAAAGUGCUGUUUGCUGGAGGCGGUGGCAGUCACUGCGUGCUGCGCGCUGGAGGCGGCGGCAGUCACGCGUGCGGCGGGCUAUGUCCUGUAGAGGUGUCUGUAAAAUACAGGAAAGUGCUGUUUGCUGCAGGUGGUGGCAGUGCUGGAGGUGGCAGUUGCUGCAGGACUGGCUAUGUCCUUUUGAGGUUUCUGUGAAAUACAGGGAGUUCCAGCUUUGAAGUUUGUAUUAACAUUGCAUGUGUACUAACAACCAUGGCUGUUUAAAGUCACCUUAACCUACCUAUAUCUAUUGAGAAUGUACUGCCUGAAGCGCUUCAGGGACUUAGUGGUGAUGUCGUCCUCCUUCAUGACAAGCCACUGUCUGAUAGAGCAGUAAGCCUCCUGAGCCAUCUUUCUCUCAUGGUCAUUCCCAGCUUGAGGGUCAGCUUGAAGGCGCUUGUGCACACUGUACCACUGCCACAUUUCUUGAAAUGUAAAAGACCUGAAGCUGCCUUUCCCGUAAAUGGCCCUGUUUACGUACAUUUCAAGAUGUCAGGAGACCGGAGGGAACAGCUGCACAUAUUUAAAAAGGGCUUGUCUGAGAACUGUGAGGUGACACCAGCCACAGAAGUUUCACAAGGGUGUACAUUAGCUUGUUGUGCUGAGCGCUGAUGUUUUGUUGAGCUGGCGCAUAGCGCUUGGACAUCUUAACACGCUGAACCAGGGCAGCUUCAAGUUCAUCACUUUUUGUACGACAGUCAGUAUAGUGUAUUACCCCAGUGAGUUUUAUAGAGUUUUUGAAACUUCUGUGGCUGUUUGUCAUGCUCUUCCACCUUAUUUCAUGCAUCAGUGAUGGCGUUUAUUUGAUCUGUGGUAAGGCUCAGCUUUUCUUCAGUCAGGCCGACCUCCACCAGCAGAGAACAGAACUUCUCCAACUGCUGGAGCCCAGGCAGAGGGUUGGAACUACAAGCAUCCUCCUGUUAAAGAGUACAGUAAUUGCACGUUAAGUUAAAAUGCCUAGACUUUCCAUAGACUGGCUGCAUUUAUAAAUAAAAUUUACAGAUAAUAUGUCAUUCUAGUAUAGGAAAGGCUGGAGGGUGAGCUGCACAUGUCUCUUCAGUUGUGGGCUAUGUUGUCACCUGCCUCUGGAUCACUCUGAUAUGCUUCAUCCUCAUCUGGGACAAGCUGGCCAGGCUGGACCACCUCUUCCUACAGACUAGGUCCAUCCAUUGAGAUGUCGAAGAGGCUGAAGGGAACAAAUUCACCCGUGCUUUGGCUGAAUAGAUAUUUUAAGCCAAGCAACUCAUUUGACAUCACUUGAGCAGGUUUACGGAAAUUCUCCUCUACAGUAUCUCCAAACAGCUGGUGGCAUCGGGAGUUAAGGCAAUCGAUCAGAGGUGCUGAGUAUGUUCUGUGUCGUCGACCUUUUCCACCAUACACGGCAUCAGUACAUUAUACAUUUUUAUUGAAACUUAAAGGAUGUACUUACAACUUCAUGUAGCCCACAUCAUUUGACACAAGCCAGUGAAACGUGGCAUUCAGAUAUUGGCUGAAUGGCAGCACCAACUUCCCCAGACAGCGUAGGAAAGGGCAGUGGCCUCAUUCAACAGCUGGGCAGGUGGCAGAGGAAAAGUCAUCCGUCUUUCCUUGUGGGCCCUGGCCUCGUUUGUCGCCACCAAUAAGGCCUGUUGACGAUCCACUGGAGCAGUGGGGUUUUGAAGGCGGAUGACUGGAUUCGCCAUAUCAAGAUGCAACGGAGAGGCGGUUCAGCGAAAAAUCGGCAGCAGGAAGUAGCUGCCAUUGACAGCCGGAGGUCCUGACAUAUUAGGAGAGACCUGCUAUUUUGUGGCAGCCAAUCAGUAUCGUCCAACGUAGUAGCAACCAAUCACAUUUAACUGGAAGUCAAGCGACAACAGUGCCCGCAAAUCUUCACAAUAGCGGCGGUAUUUGGCUCAGUUAUGUUGGAAGAGGAAAUCGAGGAGAAAUGCAAGGGUUUUACUCUGAAAACACCCAUCCAGGGUUUUGCAGUGAUUGGUGCCAGCUACUUGAGAGUGAAACGUCGUUCAAUAAAACAGUUGCAAUCUAAAAGCCUACUUAAUCUAACUAAUCUUUUUUCUUUCUAAAAAACCUUUAACUUAAACUUUCCUUGUUUCUAAUUCUUUUCUUUCUUUCUAACUAUUCAUAAAGUUAUAACCAUUCUACACUUAGAAGAUUUCAAGUACGCAUGUUAAAUAUCUUAAUAUAUUUUAAUUACAUACAUUACUAAGAUUUAAUACUGUGCAUGAUUCGUGCCUUCCUUUUGUUGCUUUGUGAAGCUUUUGUUUACUUUCAUUCAUUCAUUCAUUAUGUGAACGUGUUUGGGCAAGUGUGUGCAUUGUCCAACAUCUGUAAUGAAAAAGAGAUGAAUGAUAUCAGUACAUACAUGUUGGCUACUUGUCAUUUGCAAGUGAACAAAGUUAUAACAAAUCUACACUUAUGGAUAGAUAGGCGGCGGGUAGAAGAUUAGUAAGAAAAACAAAGAAAUUGUUUUUCUUUGUUCUCUUGCAAAUGACAAGUAGGCAACGUGUAUGUACUAAUGUCAUUCAUGCCCUUGGGAAUGGUAUAACUGGUGUGAGAUGAUGUACUGUAGAGUAUCUGGCCUGUGACUCUGUGAUGCCUGGCUCUACUGAUGAAACUAUCCUUCAAUAAAUUUUUAAUUAUUUGAUUGUUCCUCAUGACUCCUGGUCUUCUUUCAUCAUAUCUGGUCUGUGGUCUUUAAGCUGUUAUCUCAUAACACUAGAAACAUUUUAAAUCAUGUUAAACCAUGCUAGAACAUUGUAAAACUUUUUCAAACUUUCUGGCUAUGCUUUUUCAAGCCAACUUAGUUUUUCUACGAAUUUUACAAUCUAGUUAGAAUUGUUGUUGAUCAUUCUAAUUUCAGAACAACAAAUAUCAAGCCUGUUUUAAAAGUUACAGCUGUUUUAUGAAAUGCAGACAAGAAUGUAUUGAAAUACUACAAAUGUA